UACAGAGGGGGCAAGCGUUGUUCGGAAUUACUGGGCGUAAAGGGCGCGUAGGCGGCCUGCUAAGUCGAACGUGAAAUCCCCAGGCUCAACCUGGGAACUGCGUCUGAUACUGGAUGGCUUGAAUCCGGGAGAGGGAUGCAGAAUUCCAGGUGUAGCGGUGAAAUGCGUAGAUAUCUGGAGGAAUACCGGUGGCGAAGGCGGCAUCCUGGACCGGCAUUGACGCUGAGGAGCGAAAGCCAGGGGAGCAAACGGG
rnacentral:rRNA from 1 species